rnacentral:rRNA from 1 species
GAUGAACGCUAGCGGCAGGCCUAAUACAUGCAAGUCGAACGGUGUCUUCGGACAUAGUGGCGCACGGGUGCGUAACACGUAUGCAACCUACCUUACAUUGGGGGAUAGCCUUUCGAAAGGGAGAUUAAUACCGCAUAAGACAGUAGCUGGGCAUCCAGCAGCUGUUAAAGAUUGAUCGAUGUAAGCUGGGCAUGCGUCCAAUUAGCUAGUCGGUGAGGUAACGGCUCACCAAGGCAAUGAUUGGUAGGGGAACUGAGAGGUCAAUCCCCCACACUGGCACUGAGAUACGGGCCAGACUCCUACGGGAGGCAGCAGUAGGGAAUAUUGGGCAAUGGACGCAAGUCUGACCCAGCCAUGCCGCGUGCAGGAUGAAGGCGUUAUGCGUUGUAAACUGCUUUUAUACAGGAAGAAACGACUCUUGCGAGAGGCAUUGACGGUACUGUAUGAAUAAGCACCGGCUAACUCCGUGCCAGCCGCCGCAGUAACAC